rnacentral:rRNA from 1 species
AUUGAACGCUGGCGGCAUGCCUUACACAUGCAAGUCGAACGGUAACAGGUCUUCGGAUGCUGACGAGUGGCGAACGGGUGAGUAACACAUCGGAACGUGCCUAGUAGUGGGGGAUAACUACUCGAAAGAGUGGCUAAUACCGCAUGAGAUCUACGGAUGAAAGCAGGGGAUCGCAAGACCUUGUGCUACUAGAGCGGCCGAUGGCAGAUUAGGUAGUUGGUGGGAUAAAAGCUUACCAAGCCGACGAUCUGUAGCUGGUCUGAGAGGACGGUCAGCCACACUGGGACUGAGAAACGGCCCAGACUCCUACGGGAGGCAGCAGUGGGGAAUUUUGGACAAUGGGCGCAAGCCUGAUCCAGCAAUGCCGCGUGCAGGAUGAAGGCCUUCGGGUUGUAAACUGCUUUUGUACGGAACGAAAAGCCCCGGGUUAAUACCCUGGGGUCAUGACGGUACCGUAAGAAUAAGCACCGGCUAACUACGUGACAGCAGCCGCCGUAA